GGAAUAUUGGACAAUGGGCGCAAGCCUGAUCCAGCCAUGCCGCGUGUGUGAAGAAGGCCUUCGGGUUGUAAAGCACUUUCAGCGGGGCGGAAGGGUGUUGUGUUAAUAGCCCAGCAUUUUGACGUUACGCGCAGAAGAAGCAGCGGCUCACUCCGUGCCAGAAGCCGCGGUAAUACGGAGGGUGCAAGCGUUACUCGGAAUUACUGGGCGUAAAGCGCACGUAGGCGGUAUGUUAAGUGGGAUGUGAAAGCCCCGGGCUCAACCUGGGAAUUGCAUUCAAAACUGGCAUGCUAGAGUAUGUGAGAGGGGGGUAGAAUUCCAAGUGUAGCGGUGAAAUGCGUAGAGAUUUGGAGGAAUACCAGUGGCGAAGGCGGCCCCCUGGCACAAUACUGACGCUCAGGUGCGAAAGCGUGGGGAGCAAAC
rnacentral:rRNA from 1 species